GACAGAGGGUGCAACCGUUGUUCGGAAUUACUGGGCGUAAAGCGUGUGUAGGCGGUCUCUUAAGUCGGAUGUGAAAUCCCCGGGCUCAACCUGGGAACUGCAUUUGUGACUGCAUGGCUGGAGUGCGGCAGAGGGGGAUGGAAUUCCGCGUGUAGCAGUGAAAUGCGUAGAUAUGCGGAGGAACACCGAUGGCGAAGGCAAUCCCCUGGGCCUGCACUGACGCUCAUGCACGAAAGCGUGGGGAGCAAACAGG
rnacentral:rRNA from 1 species